rnacentral:piRNA from 1 species
UUUGAAGUUUGAUUUGCAGCCUGCCC